rnacentral:rRNA from 1 species
ACUGAGAUACGGCCCAGACUCCUACGGAAGGCAGCAGCUAAGAAUAUUCCGCAAUGGGCGAAAGCCUGACGGAGCAAUCCCGCGUGAGUGAUGAAGGCCUUCGGGUUGUAAAGCUCUUUUGGCAGGGAAGAAUAAGGUAUGAAGGAAAUGUCAUACUGAUGACGGUACCUGCAGAAGAAGCACCGACUAAUUACGUGCCAGCAGUCGCGGUAAUACGUAGGGUGCAAACGUUGCUCGGAAUUACUGGGCGUAAAGGGUGCGCAGGCGGCCUGGUAAGUUAGUGGUGAAAACCUGAGGCUUAACCUCAAGCCGGGCAUUAAUACUGCCAGACUAGAGUCGUAAUAGAGGCAGCAGGAAUUCCUAGUGUAGGAGUGAAAUCUGUAGAUAUUAGGAAGAACACCAAUGGCGAAGGCAAGCUGCUGGGUAACGACUGACGCUCAGGCACGAAAGCCAGGGGAGCGAAUGGGAUUAGAGACCCCAGUAGUCCUGGUUGUAAACAAUGUACACUAGUUUUCCGGAUAUAUGUUAUUCUGGGAAACAUAGUUAACGCGCUAAGUGUACCGCCUGGGGAGUAUGCACGCAAGUGUGAAACUCAAAGGAAUUGACGGGGGCUCGAACAAGCGGUGGAGCAUGUGGUUUAAUUCGAUGAUAAGCGAAGAACCUUACCUGGGCUUGAACGUGUAGUGACAACCGGUGAAAGUCGGUCUCCCUUCGGGGCGCUAUGCGAGGUGCUGCAUGGCUGUCGUCAGCUCGUGUUGUGAAAUGUUGGGUUAAGUCCCGCAACGAGCGCAACCCCUACCCUAUGUUGCUAAGCAGCUUCGGCUGCAGGACUCUUAGGGAACUGCCCUGGUUAACGGGGAGGAAGGUGGGGAUGACGUCAAGUCCUCAUGGCCCUUAUGUCCAGGGCUACACACGUGCUACAAUGGGAGCAUAAAGGGAAGCAAGAUCGCGAGGUUAAGCAAAUCCCAAAAAACAUCCCUCAGUUCGGAUUGUAGUCUGCAACUCGACUACAUGAAGUUGGAAUCGCUAGUAAUCGCGGAUCAGCAAUGCCGCGGUGAAUACGUUCUCGAGCAUUGUACACACCGCCCGUCACACCACCCGAGCUAUUUCACCUGAAGUCGCUGUACCAACCGCAAGGAGGGAAGCG